rnacentral:rRNA from 1 species
GAUGAACGCUGGCGGCGUGCCUAAUACAUGCAGGUCGAGCGAACGGACGAGAAGCUUGCUUCUCUGAUGUUAGCGGCGGACGGGUGAGUAACACGUGGAUAACCUACCUAUAAGACUGGGAUAACUUCGGGAAACCGGAGCUAAUACCGGAUAAUAUUUUGAACCGCAUGGUUCAAAAGUGAAAGACGGUCUUGCUGUCACUUAUAGAUGGAUCCGCGCUGCAUUAGCUAGUUGGUAAGGUAACGGCUUACCAAGGCAACGAUGCAUAGCCGACCUGAGAGGGUGAUCGGCCACACUGGAACUGAGACACGGUCCAGACUCCUACGGGAGGCAGCAGUAGGGAAUCUUCCGCAAUGGGCGAAAGCCUGACGGAGCAACGCCGCGUGAGUGAUGAAGGUCUUCGGAUCGUAAAACUCUGUUAUUAGGGAAGAACAUAUGCGUAAGUAACUGUGCACAUCUUGACGGAACCUAAUCAGAAAGCCACGGCUAACUACGUG